rnacentral:rRNA from 3 species
ACAGGGAUUGCCCUAGUAACGGCGAGUGAAGCGGCAACAGCUCAAAUUUGAAAUCUGGCGUCUUUGGCGUCCGAGUUGUAAUUUGCAGAGGGCGCUUUGGCAUUGGCAGCGGUCCAAGUUCCUUGGAACAGGACGUCACAGAGGGUGAGAAUCCCGUACGUGGUCGCUAGCCUUUACCGUGUAAAGCCCCUUCGACGAGUCGAGUUGUUUGGGAAUGCAGCUCUAAAUGGGAGGUAAAUUUCUUCUAAAGCUAAAUACUGGCCAGAGACCGAUAGCGCACAAGUAGAGUGAUCGAAAGAUGAAAAGCACUUUGGAAAGAGAGUUAAAAAGCACGUGAAAUUGUUGAAAGGGAAGCGCUUGCAGCCAGACUUGCCUGUAGUUGCUCAUCCGGGUUUCUACCCGGUGCACUCUUCUAUAGGCAGGCCAGCAUCAGUUUGGGCGGUUGGAUAAAGGUCUCUGUCAUGUACCUCCUUUCGGGGAGAACUUAUAGGGGAGACGACAUGCAACCAGCCUGGACUGAGGUCCGCGCAUCUGCUAGGAUGCUGGCGUAAUGGCUGUAAGCGGCCCGUCUUGAAACACGGACCAAGGAGUCUAACAUCUAUGCGAGUGUUUGGGUGUCAAGCCCGAGCGCGUAAUGAAAGUGAACGGAGGUGGGAACCUUUCGGGGUGCACCAUCGACCGAUCCUGAUGUCUUCGGAUGGAUUUGAGUAAGAGCAUAGCUGUUGGGACCCGAAAGAUGGUGAACUAUGCUUGAAUAGGGUGAAGCCAGAGGAAACUCUGGUGGAGGCUCGCAGCGGUUCUGACGUGCAAAUCGAUCGUCAAAUUUGGGCAUAGGGGCGAAAGACUAAUCGAACUAUCUAGUAGCUGGUUCCUGCCGAAGUUUCCCUCAGGAUAGCAGUAACGUUUUCAGUUUUAUGAGGUAAAGCGAAUGAUUAGAGGCAUGGGGGUUGAAACAACCUU